CAUACAAAGAGAAGCGACCUCGCGAGAGCAAGCGGACCUCAUAAAGUGCGUCGUAGUCCGGAUUGGAGUCUGCAACUCGACUCCAUGAAGUCGGAAUCGCUAGUAAUCGUGGAUCAGAAUGCCACGGUGAAUACGUUCCCGGGCCUUGUACACACCGCCCGUCACACCAUGGGAGUGGGUUGCAAAAGAAGUAGGUAGCUUAACCUUCGGGAGGGCGCUUACCACUUUGUGAUUCAUGACUGGGGUGAAGUCGUAACAAGGUAACCGUAGGGGAACCUGCGGUUGGAUCACCUCCUCCCUGCGGUUGGAUCACCUCCUC
rnacentral:rRNA from 1 species